rnacentral:rRNA from 1 species
GGGUCAGUAGGUUGGUCGUGCCACCGGUACGUACUGGUCUCACUGAUUCCUCCUUCCUGAAGAACCGUAAUGCCAUUAAUUUGGUGUUGCGGGGAAACAGGACUGUUACUCUGAAAAAAUUAGAGUGUUUAAAGCAGGCUAACGCUUGAAUACAUUAGCAUGGAAUAAUGAAAUAGGACGAUCGAUCCUAUUUUGUUGGUUUCUAGGAUUGACGUA